rnacentral:lncRNA from 1 species
CCCCUCGUCCUGCUGUUAUCUGCCCUUUCCAAGAGUUGCCUCCCCUCCUGUUUGGAGGCUCCCUGGAGGUCCUGGAAGGCUGCAAUGAGGUCACCCUUCAUCCCUCUGUACAAAUUCAGAGGAGAAGAAAUCACAGCCUUACCGAUAGCUCCACGUGUCCCUGGUCCUGAGCAACACCUUCACACUACAGUCAGACAAAGCACUGACAUACCAUGGGAUGGCUGUUGGGCAUUUGUUCCUCACAAACACCAAAGAUUUGGCAUUUGAUCUGAAAUGAUAGCAAUUAAAAGCUCACAUUCAAAUAAUGAUAGUCAUAGAGUGGUUGGGUUGGUCAUUUAGUUCCAACCCCCCGCUGUGGGCAGGGCUGCCAGCCACCAGGUCGGUCUGCCCAGGCACCCAUCGAUCUUCCUCAUCUUCCUGACACGAGUCAAAUACAGCAACACAAACAUUUCCAACACCUCACAAUUAGAACAAGUGAGUAACGAGGACAGCACUCCUUGCAAGUGGAGGUUUGCAGAAACUCUGGUGUGCGCUUUGGCCAUCAGUUGUUUGCUGAUCUCAGAGGUCCUUUCCAGCCUCAGUGAUUGAGUUCUAUGAUUCUAUGAUGUGAAGUAUUACAGUGGAUAAAAAUGGUGAGAAAAACAAGCAAAACUGCAUACAAAUAAACUGCUCUGUAAUAUUUGCUAACACCUGCAGGAAAACCAGAUUGACUUUAGUUCUGAACUUCAAAUAUGACAAUUUUGCACAAUUCUGAGCCUCCCUUUCUCCACGUUACCUUGCUGUAUGUGCUGCCAGAGACAACGCCAUUCACCCACAGCCCAGCGCCCCCCCAGGCCUCAUGGGGAGCAGUGGGGGAAAGGGAUGGGUCCGUCUGCAGCACAGCACAGGGCCUGGGAAAGACUCUACUGCUGAGAGGAGGUGGUAGUGAGGUGGGGGGCGGCCUCUGCUCUGGGUAAGGGAGGUAGGAUGAGAGGGGACGGCCUCGGGUCGGGCCGGGGAGGGUAGUAGGAACAGUUCCUUCUCCAGAGGGAGGUGCUGGGGUCAGCGAACCGGGAG